AGGUCAAGUGAAGAAGGGCGCACGGUGAAUGCCUUGGCACUGGAAGCCGAUGAAGGACGCGACUAACCGCGAAAGUCUUCGGGGAGCCGUAAGUAGGCUUUGAUCCGGAGGUCUCCGAAUGGGGGAACCCAGCAUGUGCAGACAUGCUAUCCUUAAGUGAAUACAUAGCUUAAGGAGGGAACACGCAGUGAACUGAAACAUCUAAGUAG
rnacentral:rRNA from 1 species